rnacentral:misc_RNA from 1 species
AAGUCGUAACAAGGUAUCCGUAGGUGAACCUGCGGAUGGAUCAUUACCAAAGGAUUUAUCCCAAGGUCUUGUGAACUGUUUUGAACACCACGGUCAGAGGUCUCCUAGUGGGAUUUCUGGCUGUACACUAAACCUUUAAACCUCAACUUACAUCAAAAACAUAAACAAUUACAACUUUUAGCAAUGGAUCUCUUGGCUCUC